AUAAAACAAAACAAAGGAGGUCAUUAACUAGAGAAUUAGGCUGGACUAGAUAUACAUAUUAUACUGUAUUUUCCCACUAAAAACAUCCAGCGGGGAGGCUGAUGCAACACUAUCACGAAUUGUUCCAGCUCUUCCUGAAUCGAUAUGGUUUGUCGAUGUUGGGAUCCUCGACGGUGAUUAGCAACUGAAUCGUGGAUGGAAGUACACUUUACUUCAAAGGAUUGCACACAUAUGAAGCGGUUAUUGAUGAAGUCAUGGAAAAGGGACUUGCCAAUGCUACACAGUCAUGAAAUCUUUGUCUGUUUCACUCUUCUUCCAUACAUGAUAUACAAGGUUCUUGGGAUGCUCAGUACUGUUGCUAGGAGGUACGAAAUGGUUUGAUCUGUCAAGCAUGGAUUGCUGAAGCACAAAAUACAAGGGGGUGCAUGAGGAGGCGAGAGCUGACGGCAACCAUUGGAGGAGGUCUGGUCGGUCGAAGAGUAAGGCGUGGGCAACUCCGGAGAGAUUUGGCUUGAGCAAAUGUUGAUGCUGCUGCAAUGAGAAGACCCUUUCUGCAUGUAAUUCAGGCAAUAGCUGAGCUCCCAGCCUCCUUAGACUGGCAUGGGCACAUCAAUAAGGGCAUGGAGCCCAUCAAAGAGGAGGUCGGAGCGGCGUUGGACCUGGAUCAACUCAUCUAAAUCAAGCGGCCGGCUCCGGCUGGGAGUCGCCAACGCUCCACCCGGACGGCGUCGGCUGGGAGCUGCGACAGCUCCACAUGCAAUGGCUGGCCGGGGACCAGACCUCGACAGGAACGUGUUGCCCUUUGAGCCGGUGCAGAGCGAAAAGUUCGUAGCAUCGUUAUAGUUUUUUUGCACAAAGAUAGACCCUGUAGUACUACUGAUCAGGUGAAACACAUCGAUGUGGCACUGGUACUGAACUGAAGCAACGAUUUGUUCAACAAAAUAUGAUCCAAAUAGAAAA